rnacentral:RNase_P_RNA from 1 species
GGAACCGGCUGGACGGUCGCUGUAUCGCUUGCGGUAUGGAGGAAAGUCCGGGCUCCACAGGACAGAGCGCCAGGUAACGCCUGGGCGGCGUAAGCCGACGGAAAGUGCCACAGAAAACACACCGCCUAAGUUCGCAAGAACCGGCAAGGGUGAAAAGGUGCGGUAAGAGCGCACCGCGCGACUGGCAACAGCCGUGGCAGGGUAAACCCCGCUCGGAGCAAGACCAA